rnacentral:rRNA from 1 species
GAUGAACGCUGGCGGCGUGCCUAAUACAUGCAAGUCGAGCGAACAGACGAGGAGCUUGCUCCUCUGACGUUAGCGGCGGACGGGUGAGUAACACGUGGAUAACCUACCUAUAAGACUGGGAUAACUUCGGGAAACCGGAGCUAAUACCGGAUAAUAUAUUGAACCGCAUGGUGCAAUAGUGAAAGACGGUUUUGCUGUCACUUAUAGAUGGAUCCGCGCCGCAUUAGCUAGUUGGUAAGGUAACGGCUUACCAAGGCGACGAUGCGUAGCCGACCUGAGAGGGUGAUCGGCCACACUGGAACUGAGACCCGGUCCAGACUCCUACGGGAGGCAGCAGUAGGGAAGCUUCCGCAAGGGGCGAAAGCCUGACGGAGCAACGCCGCGUGAGUGAUGAAGGUCUUCGGAUCGUAAAACUCUGUUAUUAGGGAAGAACAAAUGUGUAAGUAACUAUGCACGUCUUGACGGUACCUAAUCAGAAAGCCACGGCUAACUACGUG